GAUGAACGCUGGCGGUAUGCUUUACACAUGCAAGUCGUACGAGAGUUUUUAACUCUAGUGGCGGACGGGUGAGUAACACGUAAGAAUUUGCCUUUAGGAGGGGGAUAACAACUGGAAACGGUUGCUAAUACCCCAUAUGCUUUCGAGUGAAAUGGAUUUCCGCCUAAAGAGAAGCUUGCGGCUGAUUAGCUUGUUGGUGAGGUAAUGGCUCACCAAGGCGACGAUCAGUAUCUGGUUUGAGAGGACGAUCAGACACACUGGAACUGAGACACGGUCCAGACUCCUACGGGAGGCAGCAGUGGGGAAUUUUCCGCAAUGGGCGAAAGCCUGACGGAGCAAUACCGCGUGAGGGAUGAAGGCCUAUGGGUUGUAAACCUCUUUUUUCAGGGAGGAACAAAAUGACGUGUACCUGAAGAAUAAGCAUCGGCUAACUCCGUGCCAGCAGCCGCGGUAAGACGGGGGAUGCAAGUGUUAUCCGGAAUCACUGGGCGUAAAGCGUCUGUAGGUGGUUAAGUAAGUCAACUGUUAAAUCUUGAGGCUUAACCUCAAAAUCGCAGUCGAAACUGCUUGACUAGAGUAUAGUAGGGGUAAAGGGAAUUUCCAGUGGAGCGGUGAAAUGCG
rnacentral:rRNA from 1 species